rnacentral:rRNA from 1 species
AGUGAACGCUGGCGGCGUGCUUAACACAUGCAAGUCGAACGAGAACGGGCUAUAGCUUGCUAUAGUUGUCAGCUAAGUGGCGCACGGGUGAGUAAUGUAUAGGUAAUAUGCCUCUUACUAAGGGAUAACAAAUGGAAACGUUUGCUAAUACCUUAUACUCCUUUUAAACAGAAGUUUAAAAGGGAAAGAUUUAUUGGUAAGAGAUUAGCCUGUAUUGUAUCAGUUAGUUGGUGGGGUAAUGGCUUACCAAGACUAUGACACAUAACUGGUUUGAGAGGAUGAUCAGUCACACUGGAACUGAGACACGGUCCAGACUCCUACGGGAGGCAGCAGUGGGGAAUAUUGCACAAUGGACGAAAGUCUGAUGCAGCAACGCCGCGUGGAGGAUGACACAUUUCGGUGCGUAAACUCCUUUUAUAUGAGAAGAUAAUGACGGUAUUAUAUGAAUAAGCACCGGCUAACUCCGUGCCAGCCGCCGCCGUAA